CCUACGGGAGGCAGCAGUGAGGAAUAUUGGUCAAUGGACGAGAGUCUGAACCAGCCAAGUAGCGUGAAGGAUGACUGCCCUAUGGGUUGUAAACUUCUUUUAUAUGGGAAUAAAACGUUCCACGUGUGGGAUUUUGUAUGUACCAUAUGAAUAAGGAUCGGCUAACUCCGUGCCAGCAGCCGCGGUAAUACGGAGGAUCCGAGCGUUAUCCGGAUUUAUUGGGUUUAAAGGGAGCGUAGGUGGAUUGUUAAGUCAGUUGUGAAAGUUUGCGGCUCAACCGUAAAAUUGCAGUUGAAACUGGCAGUCUUGAGUACAGUAGAGGUGGGCGGAAUUCGUGGUGUAGCGGUGAAAUGCUUAGAUAUCACGAAGAACUCCGAUUGCGAAGGAAGUUCACUGGACUGCAACUGACACUGAGGCGCGAAAGUGUGGGUAUCAAACAGGAUUAGAUACCCCAGUAGUC
rnacentral:rRNA from 1 species